GCAUAUCAAUAAGCGGAGGAAAAGAAACCAACAGGGAUUGCCCCAGUAACGGCGAGUGAAGCGGCAACAGCUCAAAUUUGAAAUCUGGCCCCCCAGGGCCCGAGUUGUAAUUUGCAGAGGAUGCUUUUGGCGCGGCGCCUUCCGAGUUCCCUGGAACGGGACGCCAUAGAGGGUGAGAGCCCCGUCUGGUCGGACGCCAAGCCAGUGUAAAGCUCCUUCGACGAGUCGAGUAGUUUGGGAAUGCUGCUCUAAAUGGGAGGUAUAUGUCUUCUAAAGCUAAAUAUAGGCCAGAGACCGAUAGCGCACAAGUAGAGUGAUCGAAAGAUGAAAAGCACUUUGAAAAGAGGGUUAAACAGUACGUGAAAUUGUUGAAAGGGAAGCACUUGUGACCAGACUUGGGCCCGGUGAAUCAUCCAGCGUUCUCGCUGGUGCACUUCGCCGGGCCCAGGCCAGCAUCAGUUCGCCGCGGGGGAUAAAAGCUUCGGGAACGUAGCUCCCUCGGGAGUGUUAUAGCCCGUUGCAUAAUACCCUGCGGUGGACUGAGGUUCGCGCUCCGCAAGGAUGCUGGCGUAAUGGUCACCAGUGACCCGUCUUGAAACACGGACCAAGGAGUCGUCUUCGUAUGCGAGUGUUCGGGUGUCAAACCCCUACGCGUAAUGAAAGUGAACGCAGGUGAGAGCUUCGGCGCAUCAUCGACCGAUCCUGAUGUUCUCGGAUGGAUUUGAGUAAGAGCAUACGGGGCCGGACCCGAAAGAAGGUGAACUAUGCCUGUAUAGGGUGAAGCCAGAGGAAACUCUGGUGGAGGCUCGCAGCGGUUCUGACGUGCAAAUCGAUCGUCAAAUAUGGGCAUGGGGGGCGAAAGACUAAUCGAACCUUCUAGUAGCUGGUUUCCGC
rnacentral:rRNA from 1 species